UUCAUUGCAUAAUUUGUGUGGUGAUUCUCGAAGUAUCGAGAAUGAGUUUCGACGUGUCGAACCCAUGUGUUGUGUAAAUGCUUGGCUUGGAAGUUUUGGUAUUU